UACGAAGGGAGCUAGCGUUGUUCGGAAUCACUGGGCGUAAAGCGCACGUAGGCGGAUGUGUCAGUCAGGGGUGAAAUCCCGGAGCUCAACUUCGGAACUGCCUCUGAUACAGCACGUCUUGAGUCCGGAAGAGGUGGGUGGAAUUCCUAGUGUAGAGGUGAAAUUCGUAGAUAUUAGGAAGAACACCGGUGGCGAAGGCGGCCCACUGGUCCGGUACUGACGCUGAGGUGCGAAAGCGUGGGAGCAAACAGG
rnacentral:rRNA from 1 species